GAUGAACGCUGGCGGCGUGCCUAAUACAUGCAAGUCGAGCGAACGGACGAGACGCUUGCUUCUCUGAUGUUAGCGGCGGACGGGUGAGUAACACGUGGAUAACCUACCUAUAAGACUGGGAUAACUUCGGGAAACCGGAGCUAAUACCGGAUGAUAUUUUGAACCGCAUGGUUCAAAAGUGAAAGACGGUCUUGCUGUCACUUAUAGAUGGAUCCGCGCUGCAUUAGCUAGUUGGUAAGGUAACGGCUUACCAAGGCAACGAUGCAUAGCCGACCUGAGAGGGUGAUCGGCGACACUGGAACUGAGACACGGUCCAGACUCCUAAGGGAGGCAGCAGUAGGGAAUCUUACGCAAUGGGCGAAAGCCUGACGGAGCAACGCCGCGUGAGUGAUGAAGGUCUUCGGAUCGUAAAACUCUGUUAUUAGGGAAGAACAUAUGUGUAAGUAACUGUGCACAGCGUGACGGUACCUAAUCAGAAAGCCACGGCUAACUACGUG
rnacentral:rRNA from 1 species